rnacentral:tRNA from 1 species
GGGUUGUUAGCUCAGCUGGCAGAGCACCGGACUCUUAAUCCGGGUGUCCAGGGUUCGAUCCCCUGACGACCCA